AACGAAGCGAGAUAUGUUGAGCCAACAAAGAAGGCGCAGUUGGAAAGUGGAGUAAUUAGUAAUGAAGUAGCAGGCAUAUUUGGAAAAUUAUGCCGAUAAGCAGGAUGGAAUUUGGGAAAAAUGUUAUAAAUCGAGUGGCUCAUUUACGAUGUGCUCAAAACAUUUGGCGAACUUUUUUUCGCCUUUUCAACGUGCUAAGUAACAAGUUAAGAUGACUGCCAUCACGGCCGGUAAGAAACCGCAAGCGAAGGGCAGACAACCUUUCAGGAAGCUGCCUCCUGUCCCCGAGUCGAAGCUGCAGUUCAGCAAGAGCAGGUCAGCAAAUUGUUACCCUGAUCAAACGUAAACUAAAGCGCUCUGCUGUGAUUGCACUCUGUAAACGUGAAAACUUGGUGCAUGCUGAGAAAUAUCAAACAAGAAAACUCCGUGAUGGACGCCGUGAGAUGGAGUUGGCCUGAAAAUUCCAAAUUGGCUUUUGUGAUCCGUAUCCGCGGUAUCAACAAAGUUGCACAAAAAGUGCGUAAAGUUUUACAGUUCCGUCUUCGCCACAUUAAAACGGUGUGUUCAUCAAAUUGAGCAAGGCAACCA